rnacentral:rRNA from 1 species
GACGAACGCUGGCGGCGUGCUUAACACAUGCAAGUCGAACGGUAAGGCCCUUCGGGGUACACGAGUGGCGAACGGGUGAGUAACACGUGGGUGAUCUGCCCUGCACUUCGGGAUAAGCCUGGGAAACUGGGUCUAAUACCGGAUAGGACCACUGCCUGCAUGGGUGGUGGUGGAAAGCUUUUGCGGUGUGGGAUGGGCCCGCGGCCUAUCAGCUUGGUGGUGGGGUGAUGGCCUACCAAGGCGACGACGGGUAGCCGGCCUGAGAGGGUGACCGGCCAACCUGGGACUGAGAUACGGCCCAGACUCCGACGGGAGGCAGAAGUGGGGAAUAUUGCAAAAUGGGCGCAAGCCUGAUGCAGCGCCGCCGCGUGAGGGAUGACGGCCUUCGGGUUGUAACCCUCUUUCAGCACCGACGAAGCGCAAGUGCCGGUAGGUGCAGAAGAAGGACCGGCCAACUACGUGCCAGCAGCCGCCGUAA